GUGGGGUAACGGCCUACCAAGGCGAUGACGGGUAGCUGGCGUGAGAGCGCGACCAGUCACACUGGGACCGAGACACGGCCCAGACUCCUACGGGAGGCAGCAGUGGGGAAUAUUGCGCAAUGGGCGAAAGCCUGACGCAGCGACGCCGCGUGGGGGAGGAAGGCCUCAGGGUUGUAAACCCCUGUCAGGUGGGACGAACCCCGGGUCGGUGAAUAAUCGGCUCGACUGACGGUACCACCAGAGGAAGCUCCGGCUAACUCCGUGCCAGCAGCCGCGGUAAUACGGAGGGAGCGAGCGUUGUUCGGAAUCACUGGGCGUAAAGGGCGCGUAGGCGGCCGAGUAAGUCGUGUGUGAAAGACCGGGGCUCAACUCCGUGUACUGCAUGAGAUACUGCCCGGCUAGAGUAAGGUAGAGGCGAGUGGAAUUCCCGGUGUAGCGGUGGAAUGCGUAGAUAUCGGGAAGAACACCGGUGGCGAAGGCGGCUCGCUGGGCCUUUUCUGACGCUGAAGCGCGAAAGCGUGGGGAGCAAACAGGAUUAGAUACCCUGGUAGUCCACGCCGUAAACGAUGGGUACUAGGUGUUGGGAGGAUUGACCCUCUCAGUGCCGACGCUAACGCAUUAAGUA
rnacentral:rRNA from 1 species